UCGAUUUUACAGAACUCUUGAUGAAUUUUGUUGAUAAAAAACGAAUCAUUUUUAAUCUUUGUGUAUUUGUCGUCUUUUCAGUCAUACAUGUGCUUGUAUGCUUUUCAUGAUAUUCCCAUUAUGAAGAAAAGGAUGCAGAGACGCCGCCAACUCGAUAAAAACCCGCUAAACAAAAACACAGUUUCUAAUCUUCGUAAAUGGCACUUGUGUACUAAAAAUCGUUCUGUUAUUAGAUAUGGCCGGAGCGCUAAAUAAAGCAUUGUUUUGAUCCUAGCCGAGGCGUUUCCCUGUUGUAACAUAACGGUUUAUCACUUUAAAGGUCCUUUUUGUUCUCGAUAAUGCAAAAGUACGGAUGUUAAUUAAAGUACAUACACUUUUACAUAGCUCUACGUGGAAAGGCUGGAAGAAUACUCAAUAUUUUCAUGUCUUGGAGCAGUGUAAAUAGCAUCAUCUUAUCAAUAUGGGGAAAAUACUCAUUGGUGAAAAAGCGCCACCCAGCGUCUUUCUCAAGAGCAGCAGGUGCAACACUGAGAUGGCGAAUCAGCACCAAGGAUAUCGCCCAUCUUUGCCUUUUCCGGGGUUGGCGGCAGGUAUCAAGGUUUGGUUUAUGUAAAUUGAAAAAAAAAACGAAUUUUAGCGUAACAAUGGUGAUAAGUGACUCAUCCACCGACUCAUAGUUCAUUACAUUAUAAUGGUUCAAUGGAUUAUACAGAGUAUUGCUUUAUCUAGCCAUUCCGCGAGAGAAAGUAGUCCAUUCCGUGAACGCGGAGCGGCUUGACUAUUUUGCAGACAGCUUGCUGGGGGAAUAGAAAAGUCUAUCUUCUAGUUGAUAUAACUAUCCAGCCUUCUUUAUGGGCCUGUUUACAAUAUCGAAUUGUCGUAUAAUGGGGAGAUAGUACCAAGUUUAUUCACCGCCACAACCCGGUUGUUAUUCUUGUGGUCAUCCGCGGUACCGAACAGGAAUGUUGAAACGAUCGUUGUAUUAAAAAAAUGCUAACAUGUUCUUAUGUGUACAAUCAAAAAGAUCAAGUCAAGUAGAUUAUCUCUGCCCGUUCACAAACAACAGUCUAAAGUCUAAAGAGGGGCUUAAACCUUAGAAAUAAGCCAACGCAAUAUUUGUUUGGGACAAUUUCUUUUAGUUCUAACAGAGACAAUCCAGGAUCAUUCCUCCUUGCGUUCGAUUUUUCGUUCUGUUUACCCUGGUUACCAUGGACACGGGUUCCACACAGAUGACAAGUUCCAGUCCGUGAACUAGGUCUGACGUUCUGACAAGUCAAGAAUUUGCGACAGUUUGUUUUCUGAACUUCCGAAGUGUACGCGACUGUGUCGACGUGAGGAAAGAUGACAACGUUGUCAAAAGAAGAUGGGAGAACUGUUGAGCGAAAGAUGAAGCAGUCUGAGGAGAAAUACUGGUACAGUACAAGAGACCCUGUAUGCCC